rnacentral:misc_RNA from 1 species
UCUCCGUUGGUGAACCAGCGGAGGGAUCAUUACAGAGUUUUUAACUCCCAAACCCAUGUGAACCUACUAUUUUGUUGCCUCGGCGCUGAGCUGGGGGCUUCUUUCCAAGGAGCUCUCCCAUGGUCUCUCGGGACGAUGGAGCAAGCCCGCCGGCGGCCCUUCUAAACUCUUGUUUUUAUUACGUAUCUCUUCUGAGUUAUUCAAAACAAAAUGAAUCAAAACUUUCAACAACGGAUCUCUUGGUUCUGGCAUCGAUGAAGAACGCAGC